rnacentral:rRNA from 1 species
CAAUAGCGUAUAUUAAAGUUGUUGCAGUUAAAAAGCUCGUAGUUGGAUUUCUGGUCGGAAGCUCCUGUCCUCUGAUGAGCGUACAAGUGCGUCCUACCAUCCUUCUGUUAACCUUUAGGGCUUUCGCGGCUUUCUAGGGGCUCAGAUAUUUUACCUUGAGAAAAUUAGAGUGUUUCAGGCAGGCUAGCGCCGGAAUACAUUAGCAUGGAAUAAUGGAAUAGGACUUUUGCCUCUUCUGUUGGUCAUGAGGCUCGAGUAAUGAUUAAUAGGGAUAGUUGGGGGCAUUAGUACUUAACUGUCAGAGGUGAAAUUCUCGGAUUUGUUAAAGACUAACUUAUGCGAAAGCAUUUGCCAAGGAUGUUUUCAUUAA